CUAAUACAUGCAAGUCGUACGCACUGGCCCAACUGAUUGAUGGUGCUUGCACCUGAUUGACGAUGGAUCACCAGUGAGUGGCGGACGGGUGAGUAACACGUAGGUAACCUGCCCCGGAGCGGGGGAUAACAUUUGGAAACAGAUGCUAAUACCGCAUAACAACAAAAGCCACAUGGCUUUUGUUUGAAAGAUGGCUUUGGCUAUCACUCUGGGAUGGACCUGCGGUGCAUUAGCUAGUUGGUAAGGUAACGGCUUACCAAGGCGAUGAUGCAUAGCCGAGUUGAGAGACUGAUCGGCCACAAUGGAACUGAGACACGGUCCAUACUCCUACGGGAGGCAGCAGUAGGGAAUCUUCCACAAUGGGCGCAAGCCUGAUGGAGCAACACCGCGUGAGUGAAGAAGGGUUUCGGCUCGUAAAGCUCUGUUGUUGGAGAAGAACGUGCGUGAGAGUAACUGUUCACGCAGUGACGGUAUCCAACCAGAAAGUCACGGCUAACUACGUGCCAGCAGCCGCGGUAAUACGUAGGUGGCAAGCGUUAUCCGGAUUUAUUGGGCGUAAAGCGAGCGCAGGCGGUUGCUUAGGUCUGAUGUGAAAGCCUUCGGCUUAACCGAAGAAGUGCAUCGGAAACCGGGCGACUUGAGUGCAGAAGAGGACAGUGGAACUCCAUGUGUAGCGGUGGAAUGCGUAGAUAUAUGGAAGAACACCAGUGGCGAAGGCGGCUGUCUG
rnacentral:rRNA from 1 species